UUCAACUUCAACCACAACGUUGGUUGCCAAACAUGAUAAUCUCAGAAUACAUUUGAGGAGAAUAAGUUGAAUGUGCGUGCACGAAGAAAUGGUUAACUUCAUCCAUUCGGAACAGCUGACCGACUCGAAUACGCACCUUUCUUCCAUACCUCAGUUUCAUCAUGGCUGCCAGUUUCCGAGCUCGUCACCGAGCGCUCACUGCGAACAAAACCUUCCGAACAGACACUCGAUGGCAUCACGUCCUUUACAUGCUGAAAACACAAAGCGGACGCUUUUCUGCUAGCACAGCCGUGGUGUCCACGAAGUCACUCCGGCGUGAAGGUGUACUUCACGCUUGCUUCCGAACGUUAUUUUUUAAGCCAAAUACAUCAGAGCGGUAGCCAGUUGACCUUGAGUCAUUUGACAUCGCAUAAAUCUCAGACAGAGCACGUUACAAGCGCACUAAUUCGCAAUUAAACCUCUACCUUUUGCAGCUACCGCUGGUAAAAAAAAUGGUAGUUGCUUGGCUCGGCUAUGCCAGGAUAUACAUAGCGAAAUAUAAGACAUAGCAUGGUUAGCCAUGGUUAAUCUUGAUUGCAAGCCCAGGUUAGUCUGGUUGUCUAGCUAUGUUGCGGCGUUUAGCCAGUCGUUGGGCGCGCUGUUCGUCUGUUUCCUGGGCGAUUCGUUCCCUCUUCAUCUCGUUCCGAUGUCGAUUCCAGGCCUCCUCCUGGUUAUCAGAAUUGUCGCCGUCCAUACUGCCGUCUGAACUGUGGUUGCGGCGCACCCGAGCUCUCCUUUUCGAUCCUCCGGCAUGUUAUCAGGCAUGCGAUGCAGCUGGCGAAGCGAGCGGAGGCGAGCGCAAUGACGAGCGACGUGGUGUGACGUCAUACCAAACGACGAUGGCGGAAAGGCGCGGCGCUGAACAGCGGCGGAACACCUGUCGCUCGGUUGGUAGUGUCACCUGUCGCUCGGAACGCCUCUCGCUCGGAACGUUGGUGUCAGUUACGUAUGUUGAAGCACGUAAAAUAUUCAGUACAUAUAGUUUUCCACACCACUGGCUGCUUCCUGGGUUGUUUGUUGUUUGUCGCCUUUUUUCGCCAUGAGAAUAUAAUUUUAAAAUGUAUAUGUGAUCCUUAUCGCAUAGCGUAUCAUAUAUGAUACGCACCAAACUUUUUUUUCUCACGGAGAGAGAGUGAAACAAAAAACGUUCUGCCACAUUUUGCUUGAUCUUAUAUCCUAUCUGGCAACUACACCCGCAGUGGCUCCUUCUUCCGAAGCUAUCUUGAAUCCCAUUUGUAUGCCACAACACGUCGACGCAUUGUCGCGUUCUCAAGGCUUCGAACAGGCAAUGGAUGUCGGCACUUUUUACGGUGGAACAAGACGGGGAGUUCGGCCCAUUCCCGGUGAUGGUGACAGAAGCAGCGAUAGCGAGCUCUCGGACGACGAUGGGCAGGAACUGCUGCCGUGCCGGGCUCCAUCUGCGCUAGCAGAGGAGUCGUCUGAAAGCGAGGAUGAUAGUGAAGAUAAAGCACCUCCUUCAACAUCGACUUCUAGAGGCAAGAAAGGACCUGCGAAAUGUACACCAAAGUGGACGAACACAUGCCUUGAAAGAGACCCAAAGGAAAUUGAGUUCACUGGGAGCACCGUGAUGCCAUCGACUAUCGAGGACCUUGACACUCCCUUCCAGUUUUUCAAAUUCCUCUGUCCCGUUGAAGUGUUCAAGAUGAUUCGCGAGGAAUCGUUGCGCUACUCAGUUCAGUGUCGUCCUGAAAAGCCUCUUACAGUGAGCGUAUAGGAACUCGAAAGGUUUGUCGGAAUGGCUCUUUACAUGUCAAUCAUUCAGCUGCCAAGCACCCGAGACUACUGGAGCUCCAGCAUCGGACAUCACAAGGUUGCAGACGUGAUGUGCCUCAACCGCUGGGAAGAACUAAAACGGUUUCUUCACUUCAAUAAUAAUGAGACUUUUGUUGCCCCUGCAGAAAUUGGCCACGACAAGCUGCACAAGGUCAGACCCCUCUUGAACAAAUUGCUUGAGCAGCUGAAGAUGAUUCCGCGAGAAGAGAAACUGUGCAUCGACGAGCAAAUUGUUCCGUUCAAGGGACGAAGCUCCCUGAAGCAAUACAAUCCGAAGAAACCACACCGCUGGGGAUAUAAAGUUUUUGCUCUGAGUGGGGUGUCGGGUUUCUGCUACGAUUUUGAGGUCUUCAGUGGCGCCGCGGAAAACAAGCAGCUACCAGGUGAGCCUGACCUAGGCGCAAGCAGCAAUGUUGUCGUCAGGUUGUCUCGCACCAUUACCAGGCAAAAUAGUCACCAGUUGUUUUUUGACAACUGGUUUACUUCUUCUAUUCCUCUGCAAGUAUUUUUAGAGAACGAAGGGAUUCACUGCCUUCGCACUGUGCGGCGAAACCGUCGACCUGGCUGCACGCUCCCGAAAGAAACGAAAAAGAAAGAGAGAGGAACAUAUGAAGAAAGGGUAUGCGAAGUGUAAGGAACCAAGCUGUCUGCAGUAGCGUGGCACGACAAUAAAACCGUCACAUUGCUUUCCACGUUCGCCGGUAGUGAACCAGCGGGCGAAGUAAAACGGUACUUCGCAAAAGAAAAAGCGCACAAAAUGGUUCCCUGCCCAAAUGUUGUGUUGAUGUAUAACACACAUAUGGGUGGUGUAGACCUCCUUAACUCGAUGCUAGGCUAUUACCGAAUCAAGAUUCGAUCAAAGAAAUGGUAUCACCGUAUAUUUUUUCACCUGAUGGAUCUCACUGUGGUGAAUGCCUGGCUACUCUGGCGAAUGCAAAAAAGUGCCAAGACUCCCCUGCUUGAGUUCAAGUCUUCUGUCGCAGAAGGACUCUGCAGGGCAGGGAAGUUACAUGAAAGGAAGCGCGCAGGGAGACCCAGUACUGAAAUCGAGUCACUCAUUCAACCAAAGAGGACGACGCUGGCGCCACUGCCAACUGCUGAUGUUCGCCUCGAUAAAAUGGACCACAUGCCGCAUUGGCUUGACAAGCGAGUGCGCUGCAGGCUGCCCUCUUGCAACCACUUCACAAAUGUAUCAUGCAAAAAGUGCAAUGCGGCCCUCUGUUUCAACAGGGAGAGAAACUGCUUCGCAUCGUUUCACUAGGAGGGCAAGGUGUACUAAUCAUGCAAGCAAAUGAUAUCCUCACCCUUGCUUUAGCGAUGACAUUUGAGGGAAGCUGCAACACCAUUGUGCAAUAAAUGUUAUUUCACCAAUUUUCUAUUCGUUUUUCAAUGCCGCUUCUUUUUUCUGUUCGUAUCCUGUUUUUUUCCACGUCCAAAAAUAUUACCCCUAACUGCAUGGUGUAUCAUAUGUGAUACGCGAAGAAAAAGCUGUAAUAAAUCUAAACCGCUCAUAAUUUUUAAAAACUAAGUUUAGCUUGGGUGUUUGUGUUACAAGUCAAGGCUACUGAAAUUAUUUCACGCGAAAAAAAAAUUCAUGCAGUAAGGGGUUAAGGUACAAAAACCUCAUACUUAGUUAUGAGAGACGUCAUGCAGGAAAAAUAAGCUCUGUAGUUUCACUUCUCAAAGCUAUCAUCUGAUUAUGAGGCAUAUCAUUUUUGAAGACUCUCGGUGAACGUGGACCGACUAGGGUUCGCUACCAUCCAUUUAUAUCUGAAUACGCAAGCACUUUCGCAUUCUGACCCCAUCGAAAUGCAGCCUCCGCGGCUGGGAUCCCACCAUCGACAUUGUACCCAACAGAAGAACCUGAUAGCCACUCAGUAACAACGGCAGUCCGUCAAGUAAAGAAGUGAACAGAACGUGUACUGACACAUUUAUUCCUUAAGGCUUCACAUAGGUUUCCAUUUGUAGCUGUAAACAAUCGUAAACAUUCUUAGAUAACUAGCAUUUCAUUCCAUUCUGUCGCUUGAGCACUCGUGUGCACCGAUACUCAUGCGCUAUAAACCAUUUUACACACGUUUUAAGAUGCAAAUUGGCCUAUAACAGGCGCUCUUAUGCCAUCAAAGGUGUAAAUGCGAGUAUUCUCGGCAGAAAACACUCUUAAAGGUGUCAAUCGAUUUACAGUAUACCAUGCAUCGUUGUUCCCGAAGUGCUCCCUGCCUCUCUACUCAUGGCUUCUGUUUUCGUCUCGCGCAACCUUGUAUCGCUCGAGCAAUCCGAAACGCCAUGCUGGGAAUAAUGUGUCAGCUCUUCUUAUUCAGACCCCAACGUGGUUUAGUCGGCCAACUCAGAAACACAGAAGUCGGUACAGGCAUUGCGCGUCUCGAAGUUGUUUCCGUUGCUCUUGCAGCCUCCGUAGAUGAAUGGGUGGCAGGAAUUCGUCUUGGGUUCGUAGUAGAAGCGUGGGAAGUAUGCCAUACAAGGGCCAGUGUAAGCUGGUCUCCCGCACACGUCUGCAACU